rnacentral:ncRNA from 1 species
CUCAUGGAGAGUUUGAUCCUGGCUCAGGAUGAACACUGGCGGCAUGCUUAACACAUGCAAUUCAGACGGGAAGUGGUGUUUCCAGUGGCGGAUAGGUGAGUAACGUGUAAGAACCUACCCUUGGGAGGGGAACAACAGCUGGAAACGGCUGCUAAUACCCCAUAGGCUGAGGAGAAAAAGGAGGAAUCUGCCCAAGGAGGGGCUCGCGUCUAAUUAGUUAGUUGGUGAGGAAAUGGCUUACCAAGGCGACGAUCAGUAGCUGGUCCGAGAGGAUGAUUAGCCACACUGGGACUGAGACACGGCCCACACUCCUACGGGAGGCAA